UGCGGAAGGAUCAUUACCACACCUAAAAAACUUUCCACGUGAACCGUUUCAACCCAAUAGUUGGGGGUCUUAUUUGGCGGCGGCUGCUGGCUUAAUUGUUGGCGGCUGCUGCUGAGUGAGCCCUAUCAAAAAAAAGGCGAACGUUUGGGCUUCGGCCUGAUUUAGUAGUCUUUUUUUCUUUUAAACCCAUUCCUUAAUACUGAAUAUACUGUGGGGACGAAAGUCUCUGCUUUUAACUAGAUAGCAACUUUCAGCAGUGGAUGUCUAGGCUCGCACAUCGAUGAAGAACGCUGCGAACUGCGAUACGUAAUGCGAAUUGCAGGAUUCAGUGAGUCAUCGAAAUUUUGAACGCAUAUUGCACUUCCGGGUUAGUCCUGGAAGUAUGCCUGUAUCAGUGUCCGUACAUUAAACUUGACUUUCUUCCUUCCGUGUAGUCGGUGGAGGAGAUGUCAGAUGUGAAGUGUCUUGCGAUUGGUCUUCGGACCGGCUGCGAGUCCUUUUAAAUGUACUAAACUGAACUUCUCUUUGCUCGAAAAGUGGUGGCGUUGCUGGUUGUGAAGGCUGCUAUUGUGGCAAAUUGGCGACUGGUUUGUCUGCUGCGGCRUUAAUGGAAGAGUGUUCGAUUCGUGGUAUGGUUGGCUUCGGCUGAACAAUGCACUUAUUGGACGUUUUUCCUGCUGUGGCGUGAUGGACUGGUGAACCAUAGCUCGGUGGCUUGGCUUUUGAAUUGGCUUUGCUGUUGCGAAGUAGGGUGGCAGCUUCGGUUGUCGAGGGUCGAUCCAUUUGGGAACUUAAUGUGUACUUCGGUAUGCAUCUCAAUUGGACCUGAU
rnacentral:rRNA from 1 species